rnacentral:lncRNA from 1 species
CAUUUGUAGAGGCUUCAGUCCAUAUCUGGCUGACUCCGAGGCAGGGUGGCUUGGCAGAGGGCAGCCAAGCAGCAAAGUACUGAGGAAGUGCAAGUGACAAGCCACAGCAGCAGCCCUCUUUUUGUCCUUUGUACUCUAUCCACUUUACCUGGGCAUAGGGCAGGCAGCACUCACACCCAGGUAGGCGUCCAUUAUCCAUGCCCAGAAUGAUGCCAAACUAAUCAGUGGACUGAUUUAACAAUCCCACACCCUUGAUCCCAGCACCACACACUCCAGAUCCAGCCAGCUCUGAAAAGCACCCCUCCUGGGGGGUACAUCUAGACAGGAGCCACAACACCCAGGUACCCAGUCAACCCUUGCUUAACUGAGACAGCGGUCGUCUGCAUGAACAGCGACACAAAGCCCAGUGUCUGGCGCUCUUUUUGGCCCUGGUGUCCUGGCAGCACUGUGCCACCUGGACUGGGCUCGAGCACUCAGGAACAGUGGUGAAGACUUCCUGCACUUAGUCCCUUUGCCCCUUGCUAAGUCAGUUCCUCCAGGCCCCACCCAGCGAGGGACCGGGAGCCUCGGGUUGGGCUUCAUUACCCCAAGCUGGGGGCUGUGGACUCUCCAGGCUUUGAUGCCUUAUUGCUCUUCACACAGGGUCCUCUCAGCAAGGCUGGUUGCGUCCUUCAUCGCUGUGUCUAAUCAAACAUGUCACACCUCCACAGAGAAAGAAGAGGAUCCCAGUCUAACACACACCGAGGCCUUCAGUGAUAGUCCAGGGGUAAAAGAAUGAAGAAAUCUGGACAAAGCCUGGGACCUCAUAGCUGAAAUGUUCAGGUUGGUUUUUGGUGUGAGACAGGGAGACAUCAGGGCACGACCUUUCCAUAGCUGUGGUGUCCAUCAGCCUCCUAUCACCAUGACAAAUCCCGAGACCUCAGCUUGUGGCGAGAAGAGGCCCCGCUGUGCAGAGUCGCAGGCUUAGGUCUGAGUGGCGACCUUUGCCAUGGGGCCUGCAGCGCAUUCGCCAUGGGGACAGUGGAGAGCAUGGAGAGCAUGGAGACCCUCCUGGCCAGGAUGCCAGGCACAGCACAGGAGAAGAGGCUGCAGCCCCACAUCUUCCCCAGGCACCGCUGUCAAGGGCCAAAGACCCCCCCCAGGCCCCGUGCCCUAAGUCCCACCACCUCCCCAGAGCAGUAGGCUGGGAGCGGGCCUUCAACACACGGGCCUCCAAGACACCAGGAUCCAAACAGCAGCCCGAGCCACUUGCUUCAGAAUGGUGUAUUGACAAAGCCCCUUGGCAAUGAUGUGCACACUAAAACCUUGGUUUUUGAGCAUAAUUCCUUCCAGAAACAUACUUGUAAUCCAAAGCACUUGUACAUAUAUCAAAGCCAAUUUCCCCAUAACAAAUAAUGGAAACUCAGGUGAUUCAUUCCCCAACCCAAAAAUAUUCAUAUAAAAAUGAUAGCAAUACUGUAAUGUAAUACACAAUAAUAAAGAAAAUACAAAAAUAAAUAAAAAUAAACAAAUUAAGCUGCACUUACCUUUGAAAACCUUUGUGGCUGGUGUGAGGGAGCCAAGAGAGAGGAGGGUCACUGUGCAGCACGACUUUCACUGUCACUAAAGGAAUCACUGCUAUUGGCUCAAUGCAAUCUUUUUCUUUUCAUGCAGCUUUAACAAGGAAGCUAUCCAAUGACACUUGCUUUUGCCUCCUUUGAGGAUUUUGCAGAAAUGUGACAUUGCAUUGUCAUUAAACAGAUCCGUCGCUUGCACUGCUACAGCCUUAUUUGGGUAUUGCUUUUCUACAAAAUUUUGCAGUUUCCCACAUUAUACACAUCUCUCUAACCUCAUUUGAAGUGAAAGAUUCCUCUGUCUUUUCCUCCUCCCACUCUGCAGACAAGAUCUCCUCCAUAACCUCAUGCUGUUGGGAGACAGUCACCCACAAUCUGACAGAGAUAGAGAUAGAGAUAGGGAUAGAGAUAGAGAUAGAGAGAGAGGACACCUUGGCCCAGUUGUGAUCAUAGAAAUGUUUGCUCCUCUUGUAGAAUGCUCACAGAAGAAGUCACUCACAAUUCUGACAGUAUUUCAAAAUUGCUGAGAGAGCAGACUUUAAAUGUUCUCAUGACAAAGAAAUGAAAAGUAUGUGAGGCAAAGGAGGUGAGACUCAGCAGACUUUGUCAUCAUGCAGCACACGUUAAAAUGUCACAUUGACACUUGUAAAUAUGUAUGGUUAUUGCUUGUCAAUUAAAAAUUAAAAUUAAAAAAUGUAAAAAUACAUUAGAAAAAUAAAAGAAAACACCACGUUUCUCCUUCUGAGCAGCACUCAGGCCCAAGCAAUAAACCAAGAGAUAAUGUACAUGCUUGAUUCCCGAAUCACUACUGUCCUUCAUGGGCUGUGUGUCCAUCACUGAGCCAAUCCUAGCACGUUCAUACUUACUGCAAUUUAGGAAGUAUGGAGAUCCUGUAGGCAAAUCCUACAUAUUUGCUCUACUUCAAGAUUUUCUUAACUUCUCUAGAUUAUUUCCUCUUUCAUAUAAAUUUUAGAAAUGGGCUUGUCUAUUCACACACACGCACACACACACACACAUGCACACACACACACACAUGCCCUUUCUAAGAUUUUGAUGAGGACUGAAUGAAUCUACAGCUUAAUUUGAGGGGAAGUAGCAUCUUCUUAGAGUGAAUAUAUGGAAACACUGCACUUGUAGAAUUCGAUAGUUUUUGCUGCCAUUGUAACUGUAAUAUAGAAAUCUAGUUGAUUUUCAUAUAUUGUCUUUGUAUUUAUUGACCUUAUUAAAUUCACUUACUUAUUCUAUUAAUUUCUUUGAAGAAUCCUGUGCAAUUGAAUAGGAGUUAAAAGUAGAAAUUUUACCUUGUUCUGAACGCCACAUUUCACCAUUGAUUAUGUGGUUAUAGGCAUAUUUUGAACAUAAUAUUC